AUAUCCCAGUAAGUAAGACCCCUUAGAGAGUAUGAGGUAGAUAGGCUGAAGGUGGAAGUGCAGUAAUGCAUGGAGCUGAUGAGUACUAAUCGGUCGAGGGCUUAACCAA
rnacentral:rRNA from 1 species